rnacentral:lncRNA from 1 species
UUAAGGCCCAGUUCUUUUCACCCUGGAUUCUAGAGAAUCAGGAUUAUGGAAAAUUCUCCCAGAAUCUGCUUCUCCCAGAAUCUGUGGUCGAGUUCUUUUCAGAGAUUGUAGUUUGAGAUUCUGGAAAGUGUUGUCUGUUGAAAUGUCUGUACUGCCCUUAGAUAGAAGUUGUUUGCUGAAUUGUUAACACUCUGUUGUUUCUAACAGUGACGAAAGUGUAUUUUACGAAUGGCAUAAAAAUUGCUAAAUAUUACAAUGGGUGUAAAGUUUUGUUCAUGACGGCAAGUGCAUAAACUAAAAAAAGACAAUACUCUCAAGGUACAAGACUAGCAGCAAUCGCC